rnacentral:rRNA from 1 species
CCCGAGAUGAGUUCUCCCUGACUCCUUGAGAGUCCUGAAGGAACGUUGAAGACGACGACGUUGAUAGGCCGGGUGUGUAAGCGCAGCGAUGCGUUGAGCUAACCGGUACUAAUGAACCGUGAGGCUUAACCUU